GACGAACGCUGGCGGCGUGCCUAAUACAUGCAAGUAGGACGCAGUUGCGAACGGGUGAGUAACGCGUAGGUAACUACCUAUUAGAGGGGGAUAACUAUUGGAAACGAUAGCUAAUAACGCAUACUAGUAGAUGGAUCUGCGUUUUAUUGGCUAGUAGGUAGGGUAAUGGCCGACCUAGGCAACGAUACAUAGCCGACCUGGGAGGGGGAUCUGCCACACUGGGAAGAAGACAAGGCCCAGACUCCUAAGGGAGGCAGCAGUGGGGGAACUUCGGCAAUGGGGGGAACCCGGAACGAGCAACGCCGCGUGAGUGAAGAAGGUUUUCGGAUCGUAAAGGUCUGUUGUGUAGGAAGCGGUACUUAACCAGAAAGCGACGGCUAACUACGUGCCAGCAGCCGCGGUAAUUC
rnacentral:rRNA from 1 species